GGACAUUGCGGCGGCUACACAUGCAAGUCGAGCGGCAGCGGGAAGUAGCUUGCUACUUUGCCGGCGAGCGGCGGACGGGUGAGUAAUGCUUGGGAACUUGCCUUUAGGAGGGGGAUAACCACGGGAAACUGUGGCUAAUACCGCAUAAUGUCUACGGACCAAAGCAGGGGCUCUUCGGACCUUGCACCUAGAGAUAGGCCCAAGUGAGAUUAGCUAGUUGGUGGGGUAAAGGCCCACCAAGGCGACGAUCUCUAGCUGUUCUGAGAGGAUGAUCAGCCACACUGGGACUGAGACACGGCCCAGACUCCUACGGGAGGCAGCAGUGGGGAAUAUUGCACAAUGGGGGAAACCCUGAUGCAGCCAUGCCGCGUGUGUGAAGAAGGCCUUCGGGUUGUAAAGCACUUUCAGUGGUGAGGAAGGAUGUAAGAUUAAUACUCUUGCAUAUUGACGUUAGCCACAGAAGAAGCACCGGCUAACUCCGUGCCAGCAGCCGCGGUAAU
rnacentral:rRNA from 1 species